rnacentral:tRNA from 1 species
CGGGCAAUAGCGCAGUUGGUAGCGCGCGACGUUCGGGACGUUGAGGUCGCAGGUUCAAAUCCUGUUUGCCCGACGA